rnacentral:rRNA from 1 species
UACGGGGGGAGCAAGCGUUGUUCGGAUUUACUGGGCGUAAAGGGCGCGUAGGCGGCCAGCACAAGUCAGUUGUGAAAUCUCCGAGCUUAACUCGGAAAGGUCAACUGAUACUGUGCGGCUAGAGUGCGGAAGGGGCAACUGGAAUUCUUGGUGUAGUAGUGAAAUGCGUUGAUAUCGUUCGGAACACCAAUAGCGUAGGCAGGCUUCUGGGUGCCACCUGACACUGCUAGGACGAAAGCGUGGGGAGCGAAUGGG